rnacentral:ncRNA from 1 species
AAAGUUUAAAUCUCAAACUUACACCUAUCUACCAUUAAGACUACACAUGCAAGUAUCCGCACCCCAGUGAGAAUGCCUCGCCCCAUUACAAAUGCAACAGAGCAGGUAUCAGGCUCAACGACGUUAGCCCACCACACCUUGCCCAGCCACAUCCCCACGGAUAACACAGCAGUGACUAACAUUAGGCAAUAAGCACAUUAAAGCUUGACCUAGCUAAAAUCUUCUUGGCCGGCAAAUCUCGUGCCAGCAGCCGCGGUUACACGGGAGGCCAAAGAUAGCACAAAACGGCGUAAAGAGUGGCCACAGAUUCUUCCACCUGCCCCGGAUCCAAAAAUUAUUCCUCAGAGAUAAAAUCCCAAGAAAUUAAGAACACCAAACAUCCAUAACAGGCCAUCCCACCCACGAAAACCAGGAUACAAACUAGGAUUAGAUACCCUACUAUGCCUGACCGUAAACAAAAAUGGAACCAAACAACCCAUCCGCCCGAGAACUACCAGCACAAGCUAAAAACUCAAAAGACUUGACGGUGCUCUACCUACCUAGAGGAGCCUGUCCUAUAAUCGAUACCCCACGAUCCACCCGACCACUACUAGCACCACAGCCUAUAUACCGCCGUCGAAAGAAUAUCCUGCAAAGGACCAAUAAUUAUCCCAAAAGCCCCACCACUAGAACGUCAGGCCAAGGCAUAGCUAAUGUAGAGGAAGAGAUGGGCUACAUUCUCUGACACAGAGCAAACGAAAAAUAGCAUGAAACCCGCUAUUUAAAGGUGGAUUUAGCAGUAAGAUGAAAAAGCAUACUCACCUUAACCCAGCACCAGAGCACGCACACACCGCCCGUCACCCUCAUUAAUAAUCCCCAAACCAAAAUAUAUUCCCACCCUAACCCAUAAAUGAGGUAAGUCGUAACAUGGUAAGUGUACUGGAAAGUGCGCUUGGAAAAA